AUUUACGAGCUUUGGGGCAAAAGUGUAAAUAUGCAAAAGUUUAGGGGCAAAAUUGUAAUUUUACCAAAAUAUGAUUUUGGGUCAAUUUGAAUAAUGUGAGUCCUAAUUAGACUAUAUUUUAAAUGAUAGAGCAAGGAAAACUGAAAUUCGGGCUAAAAUGGGGAAAAUACCAAGUGGUGGACGAAAUGGUAAAAAUAGCCAUUUUCGCAUACGAGUGUUGACAAGCCAGCUCGGAAAUCGGAAGCGGUCGGAGGCACGCUCACACUAUCCGUAUACCAUCUUGGCAUAAUGGCUUGUAUAUUUUGAGUAUGGCAUGUAUAGCAUUAUAAUCAUUUUGUAUAUAUGGUCUUAUGAUAUGGUUAUUGAGUUGUAUGGAAAUAGAAAUGCUUGGUAAUGAUUAGCCAUUGGAAUGGCUAAUCAUGAUCAUAUUUGGUAUUAUGUAUGUCAAAUUGCUAGCUAA